rnacentral:rRNA from 1 species
UACGGAGGGUGCAAGCGUUAAUCGGAAUUACUGGGCGUAAAGCGUGCGUAGGCGGUUCGUUAAGUCUGUUGUGAAAGCCCCGGCUCAACCUGGGAAUGGCAAUGGAUACUGGCGAGCUAGAGUGUGUCAGAGGAUGGUGGAAUUCCCGGUGUAGCGGUGAAAUGCGUAGAGAUCGGGAGGAACAUCAGUGGCGAAGGCGGCCAUCUGGGACAACACUGACGCUGAGGCACGAAAGCGUGGGGAGCAAACAGG